UAUUGUGAGCUUGUCAAGUAUCUAUUUAAAGAGACGAUUAAUUGGUAUGGGGAUACAAAUCUCAAAUUUUUCCCUUGUAUAUUGAUGAUACACAAGUAGUAGUAACUCCUCCUCCUAAGUCAUGAAUGAAGUCUUGUUGAGACGAAGGACCGUGCUGCCGUGCUCGUUCCGUUGAUUACUCUAUUGCACCUGUUGAAGCAGCUAUUGAAUCAGCUUUUGUUUUGUCAAUUUUUUGGCAAAAAUUCUGGUAUGUAAAUUUUAGCGGUACCCACCCAAAUUCUUAGUUUAUUAUUAUUAUUAUUAUUAUUAUUAUGGAUAAACUAUAAUAUAAAUAAAUAAAUUGCCUGUAUAAAAAAUGUGUAAAGUACACCAUACUAUUUAAUAUGCUUAUAAAAUUCAUAACAUUUAAAAGUAUGAACAUAGUGUCCCUUUGAAUGUCAAUUUUGACAACGACCAAAAUUUUAUCCGACCCACGCCACCCUCGAGGAAGUGACGUUGAGCUUGUCUCACUUGAUGCACUCACCAUUCGGUGUUAUGGUAGCUAUAGACGGGGGGUUAGUGGUUGGCUGUGAAGCCUGUGAUCUAUAAAAUCGAUUUUGGAGCAGUAUGUGUGUAUGCAUGUGUAUGCCUAUAAUACAUGUGUUGUGUAUAUACAAACUUGUGUGGGGGUGUGUAUAUACAUGCAAUGGUUUGGGGGGCGGGGCGGGUCCUCAGCUCCAGUGACUGAGAGGGCUAAAUUGGUUCAUUAAAAUGAUUCGAAAGGUAACAAAGGUAAUUCUAUGAUUUAAUGGCAAUAAUGUCAUUUUAGCUUGUGUAACAGGUGUCUUUAUUAAUUUUAUCAAAUUUAAAGGAGUGUUAUUGUUCAAAAAAAAGUUAACUUGUAUAUUGUUAUAAUUAUGACAAAUCUUGUAGGGAGUAAAUGUAAUUUAUCCUUAUUUUUUAAUAUUCGGGUCAAAAGACAUAAGCUGAUAUAGUAAUAGGAGGAAUACAUAUACAAGGGCACUUACGGUGGGUACAAAAAUCUUCUCAAUCUUGAAAAAAUCUUCUCAAUCUUGAAAAGCGUGACCAAAAGAACCACACACACAUAUGCAAAAAUCUAAAUUCCCGAAGCAACACUGUGUAUAAAAAUCAUAAUAUAAUCAUAUAAUAAAAUCAUAUACUAUGAUUUUAUGCUCCGUUGUUGCUAUAUGAUUUUAUGCUCGGUUGUUGCUUAACUGUCUGAAUUUAGAUGUUUGGUCCACUUGAACGUGUUACCCCUUUGGCCACGCCUUUUGAGAUUGAGAAGACUUUGUUAUAAAUUAAAAUUCAAUUUUUAUAACAAAAAGUAUUCACAUUUGAAUGAGAUCUCUAAAAGUCUUAAAAAAAUUUACAUUAAAGUUGAUGAAAUCCAAAUCACCUUUUUUUCCCUGGAUUUGAUAAUGAGUCAAGGAUAUAUAAUAUGGUUUUUAAGCCAAUUUUUAUAUUAAUUUCCCGUUGAAUUGGAAUGGGUUAAAAUUGUCGGUGGUCGACAACCAACAACAAUUCAAAUUCAUUUGCUCUUACCUGUGUGGAAUGGAUGAAUGAAUGUUGUGUUACAUCAACCGUUCCGAAGCAAGAGAAACGAAAGCUACCUAACAUUCCAUUGUAUUAUUGCAAAAAUUAGGCAUGCCCUAAAUCUGUCAUGUGGCUUAAUAUUGAAACGUAAUACUUAGUGGACAAUCACAUUCAUUGCACUUUGAUUUCCAGUGGAAUUGAAAUCAUGACAUGAAUUCAUCUUGGGGAGAACAGUCGUAGUUAAAAUUAGUUAGUUUUAAAUACAAUAAUUAUUUGAGUUUUUAUUUUUAUGAACUCUACAAACAUUAUUUUUUUUUAGACAAAAAUACUCUUUUAAAUUAUCUAAUCUUUCUUCUUAUCUCCUCUUUUAAUCUAGUAUGUGUGUGUAUAUAUGUAACUAGUGUUAUGUGAAUGGAUUUUGAAAAGGGAAAAAAAAUAUAGAUAGAAUAAUUCAUUCACAAGAUAUUGAUGGAUUCGAAAAAAAUAAAAGGAAGGAGAAAAAAUUAAAUAAAAGAGUAAAAAUAAAAAAAAAUAAAAAAAAGAGCUAGAAAAAAAUCGUAUAAGAUGGAUUCUGAGGUCGAUUAUAUAUUUUUUCUUACACCCAUCCUUGAGUGAAUAAAUUCUUUCCUUUUUUGUUUUUUCCUAUAUAUAUAUUUCUUUUUGUUUUUCUUUUUUUUACAACUAUCCUUGUAUAAAUAGAUUUUUAAAAGAAAAGGAAAUAAAAGAAAAAGAAAUAAUUCAUUCACCAAAGAUAGUUGUGAAAAAAAAAAAAAAAUUAUGUAUAUGAAACUAAAUUUGUGUAUAUAUAUAUUUUUUAAAAUCUCAGAAUCUAUCUUAUACAUGGAUUAUUUGCUCACUCUCCUCUCUUUAGAUAAGAAAGAAAGGCUAAAUAAUUCAAAAGGGUAUUUUUGUCUAAAAAAGUAAUAUUUGUAGAGUCUCAUAAAAAUAAAAACAUAAAUAAAUAAUGCAUUUAAAACUAAUCAAUCCCAUUUGCAACUGUAAAUAGACUGUAAUUAACACUCCUCAUUCAUCUUUGGUCUAAACGUUUUAGGCCAUUAAUGUAAAACACAAUCAAGUCAUUUCUUGCCCUACAAUUACUGUCCUAAAACUGCCAUAUUCUUGAGUCACGAUUCUCUAAAUAAAAUAUUUUUUUUUUUAUAAAAUGGAGGGAGUAGUACUCAGUGGACGCUCACAUUCAUUGCACUUUGAUUUCCAGUGGAAUCGAAAUCAUGACAUGAAUUCAUCUUUGGUCUAAACGUUUUAGGCCAUCAAUGUAAAACACAAUCAUGUCAUUCAUUGCCCUACAAUGAUUACAAAAAUAAAAAUAAAAAAUGUUGUCAUGAAUCAUGAUAAAGGAACUUAGGAAGAACACAUGUUCAUUAAUUAAGUUUUUUUUAUACAACGUUACACGUGAGAACGCAACUCAAUCAUAACAUUGUUCAAUUAUUACUAUAAUCUAUUUGGAGUAUCUUCAAUUUGAUGUGUGGUUUAAUGUAUCUUCAAAUGAUAACCAAUUGCAACACAAACAAUCAAUCAAAAAGUGUAUAUGUUUGCCCUACUAUUUACCAAAGAAAAAAAAAAAAAAAAAAAAAAACAAAACAUUAAUAGAUUUAAAACUAUUUCAAAUUUGCAAAAUUGAUUGGUACAUAUCAGCCCCUAAACUAUCACAAAGUUGCAUUGUGACCUUUUUUCAGUGACCGGAUAUCAAUUUUCAACAUCCAGAUCGAAGUUACCUAUUUACCCUCACUUAUUAAUUUAAUACUACAUAUAAAAUGUAUAAAAUAUAUGAAGUGUAUAUUUUUACUCUGGUAACAAUACCAAAAACAAUAAUAAUAUGGGCUAAUUUUAUAAAACUCUCAUUACUUUCGAAUUUUAAUCAUAAACCCCUAAUCUAUUUUAAAAAAUUCCUUACACUUUAAAAAGCAAUAUUCAUACUCGACCCAUUAAUCAAAUUUUGAAAUGACAAAAUUAACCUUACUAUUUAAUGAUAGAUUUAAGACUAAAAAUUAUUUUUUGUAAAAUUAUAAAAAUACCUUUGUCUUCUUCGUUACCCAUCUCUCUCUCUCUCAAAUUCUCACCCAUUUCUCUCUCUCUAAAACAAACCCAUCACCAGACCAAGUGAUGGUUCUGUAACGACGUCACAAAUAUCCCUAACAAAGUAACUUAUAUGCAUAUUAUCAAUAUAUAUAUAUGUAUGAAUUAUAAGAGGGAUUGAUCGGCAAAGGAGAUGGAGAGGAGGCGGGUGUGGCGCCGUGGUAGCUAGAGAGGAUUCUACUGCCGUAGCUAGCUACAUAGGAAUCUGAUGGUGGAGAUGGAGGAUGGUAUAAGGGUGUUGAGAGAAGGAGUGACCAUGUUGAUUGAUUUGGGUUUGGUGUUGCGAUUGGUGAGAAAUUAAGGUUGAGUCUUUGAAGAUCGUUGGUGCAAGCAUGGCGACCAAGGUCACUGUGUUGGCGCCAUGAACUGCGGCGAUGCAGAUAACAAAGCAGUCGCGUCAACAAGUUCAAGAAGUUCAAUUCGUUGCUUGAUCGGACCAGAACCGGUCACGCCCGUUUUCAAAGAGGUCGUGUUUUUCCUCUUCCUCCUCGAUCAACAACAACACAAAACCCUAGAAUUUGAGCCAUUCAUUCAAGCGACGGUCAAUCAUCACACAGUGGAGGAUAAACAUGGUUCGAUUUUGAAGGUUUACUGUCCCACUCCGAUUCAAAGCUUGCCUCCUCUACCUCACAACCAUCACCGGCCAGUUGGUUAAAAACGAAUCCGUCGAGAGAAAGGAGACCAUGAUACAAGCGGCGAAUUCAUUCAUGUUGUCGUUUACCAGCGACUCCAAUUCUACGAAGUUGGAGUCCAACUCCUUUGAAGGUAGUGAAGCAUCGCGUUAGUUUGCAAAGUUGAAAAUGUCGUCGUUGUUAUUUUUAGGGUUUCAAAUGAGUUAGAUUGAUAUCUAUAGCAAGAUCCAAUUUCCACCAUAUAUAUAUAUAUAUAUAUAUAUAUAUGAGUUAUGCCUGAAAUCAAAGGAUGAAGGAAAUUGUUUGGUGAAAAAACAGCGUCAUUGUUCAUUUGGAUUAGAUCAUGAACAGGGUAAAAUUGUCAUUAAAAAAAUAAUUUUUAAGUUUUAAUUUAACAUUAAAUAAUAAGGGCAAAUUCAAUAUUUCACAAUCAAUUUAAUGUAUCAGUUGCGGGUUUAAGGGCAAUGUGAUCACUUUUUAAAAUAUAAAAAUUUUUUUAAAAUAAAUUGAGAGUUCACGAUUAAAAGUUGAAAUUACCGUGAUUUUUAUUUUAUUUAAUUAGCCCUAAUAAUAAUAACAAUAAUUUUGAGAUAUUUCAAGAGUAAUGGUGGGUUAGUAAUUUUGAGAUAGGAGUUUUUUUUUUUUUUUUGUUUUUUUCCGCACUUUUGACCUUUAGUUCAAGUGUUGCGGUACAGACAGAGUCUGCUAAAUUUAAAGGUAAGGUGAAGUCCCAUCUCAACUUGUAGACUAAAAAAAAAAAAAAAAUGAAGAAGCCCGUCAAUGGAUUAUGAGGGCUAUGUUUAGCAAGCAUUAAUUUAUUGAGUUUUACAUAAAUGUGUGACAUGUUAAUUUAUGUCUCUAGAAUAUUCUUAGGAUAAAAAAUAAAAUAAAAAAUAUGAAGCCUGUCAAUGGAUUAUGCGGGCUAUGUUUAGCAAGCAUUAAUUUAUUGAGUUUUACAUAAAUGUGUGACAUGUUAAUUUAUGUGUCUAGAGUAUUCUUAGGAUAUAAAGUUAUAUUCCGUAGGUGUGUGAGUCUGACAAAAGUCUUGGACAACUGAAGAAGCAGCCUUGCUCCCCAUAGAUUCGACUGUCCACCAGAGUUGGAGCAGUUUGGUUUCUCUUUUUGGCUAGAGACUGAAGUCGAGAGCUGUUGGAAGAGUCGCAAAGGCAGAUACCUUCAGCAAAUUGGGUCUUGGUAGAGUGAAGGGGUGUGAGCCUGAGUCGAAGUUAUACAUGGUUGAUUGCUUCGCUUGAAACAACGUGAAGAUUCUUGAGAUUUUUUUAAUUGAAUUUUCUCGCUAAAAUUCGGUAUCUUCUAACUCUACUUCCCUUAUUAUAUUGUUUUGUGAUUGCUUUAAUUUAAUAAAUAUCUCAUCAAACAACAAUUUGGAUAAAAUAAGCAUGUGACAUCUAUUAAUCACAACUUACAAAUAAUACAAUAAUCUUGAACACAUUAAUUAAUUAUUAAUACCCCUUGUAGAAAUUUGAUACAAAGAAAUACAUACUAAAAACAUCCAUGACAUGAAUCAACAACAUUUGAAAGAAAGCCUCCCAACAAAUUUGGACAUACAUAUAUAUAUAUAUACACACACACACGCACAUGCAUGUUAUCCUUAUUAUAUUGUUAUGUGAUUGCUUUAAUUUAAUAAAUAUCUCAUCAAGCAAC